GCGCGCAGGGUUGUUCCAGUGUGGAUUGUGGACCUACAGAGAAAAAGUUUGCACGGGAUAUUCUAGCGCACAGGAGGAAAAGUUGUUGAGAACAUGGCAAACAAACUACAGCAGCCUCCACACCUUCAUCUGGCGGAAUUGAGCGCCACCCAGUUCAUCGACAUCUGGAACCAUUUCGAUACCGACGGCAAUGGCUAUAUCGAGGGCAAGGAACUGGAGAACUUCUUCAGGGAGUUGGAGAUUUCACGGAAAGGGGCCGGAGUGGAUCCAUCAAACUCCACUUUCAAAGAGAAGAUGAAGGAGUUCAUGCAAAAGUUUGACAAGAAUGCAGAUGGGAGAAUUGAGAUGUCUGAGCUAGCUCAGAUUUUGCCCACAGAGGAAAACUUCCUGCUUUGCUUCAGAGAGUUUGUGGGAUCCAGUUCUGAAUUCAUGGCGGCAUGGCGACGAUACGAUACAGAUCGCAGUGGGUACAUUGAAGCUAAUGAACUGAAGGGAUUCCUCUCAGACCUGCUGAAGAAAGCCAACAGACACUACGAUGACCAGAAGCUUCACGAGUACACACAGACAAUACUCAAGAUGUUUGAUCUAAACGGAGAUGGGAAGCUGGGCCUGUCUGAAAUGGCGAGGCUUCUCCCAGUUCAGGAAAAUUUCUUACUGAAAUUCCAGGGUAUCAAGCUGACCUCUGAGCAGUUCAAUGAUAUCUUCACAUUCUACGACAAGGAUGGAAACGGCUACAUUGAUGAGCAGGAGCUCGAUGCUCUGUUGCGUGACCUCUAUGAAAAGAACAAAAAGGAGGUGGACACCAAAAACCUGACUGGCUACAAGAAGAGCAUCAUGGCCCUGUCGGACGGGGGCAAGUUGUACCGCUCCGAGCUGGAGAUUGUGCUCUGCAGGGAGCCCAUGCUGUGAACCCUGACAACCAUCGCUGUCUGUUUUUUGACCUUCAUGACCCUAUCUGCCCAUCCCCAGAUCACACCCACCUCCAGCUGCCUGACGACUGUAACCAGGUGCAUGUGCCGGGCAUUCCCUUUAUGAGUUUUGAAUGAAUGUGCACUGAGAAGCACAGACCAGCUCUCCCUCAUGACCCCUGUCCCCACUCGUCCCUACAGACUGACCCAGCUCUGACAUUGCCUUCGGCUCAAUCCCUAAAGUCUACAUUUAACAAAAUGAAUAAAGAUAAUAAAAGGUGUGCUGCAGACGUACUACAGCUAUCACAACCAUGUGUACUGCAUUUUCACUUCAGACAUCUCUCAGAGGGGCUCUGAAGGAAGGGGUUCCCCCUUUCUGGCCGGUGGGUCCCUCUUCCCACUUAUCCUCCUCCAGCCCAGAGAGGACUUAAUGAACAUCCUGCUGUCGUCCAAAUAUGUUGUGAAAAAAUACAGUUAUGUUUUAUUUAAAACUUCAACAAUGCCUCAUUAUCUUCUUAUUACUGUUAUUACAGUUGUCAUAUACCGUGAUAUUCAAGUAGGAGAGUGUAUAAAAGUCUAGUCUGGAUGUAGUUAUUUCUGAUGAAAUGUGUGAUCUAACUGACCCACAAUCCAAGGUAAUAAGGUUGAUAAAGUAGUAUAUCAAAGUAAGCAGACCAAUUAUUUUACUACAUUUAACUUUGACUAUAUUUAACUGCUUAGAUUAAUUAAAAUGUUUAAAACUUCUUCCACUACCACAAAAAUACUUUUAAAGAGUUAAAGCAAGUCCCACAAGUUUUCUUCAUGGAAAAUUACCAUCUAGUUCAUCUAUGUAUAUGAUCUGGUGUUUCAUCCUUAUAUUAUUACCCUGUUACAUUUAGAUUUUUUAUGUUGCGUUUUCUGGCUGAUACUGUUAUAAUGAGGAUGUUAUAGAAAGCAUUAAAAAUAUAUAUAUUACGAUUAA